GUUUAAAAGAAGGUAACCGGCUUCUUCAACUUUUAAAUAACGAGUUGUCUAUAGAGAAGAUUAAUAAGUUAAUUGAUGAGACGGCGGAGGCAGUUAAAUACCAAAAGGAAGUCGAAGAAAUAUUAGGACAAAGCUUGUCUCCUCAAGACGAGGCAGAAAUUACUUCUGAACUUGAGUCCCUGCUAACAAGCUCGCAAGAAGUUACUCUUCCUGACGUGCCCUCAAAGAUUCCUGACACUGCUCUCUCUUCUAAACAAAUUGUAAAAACCAAAAAACAGUUGGCGACUUUUUCGUAGUGAUUAAAAA